rnacentral:rRNA from 1 species
GACUGCGGAGGAUCAUUACCGUGGGGCUUCGGCCCCGUCGCGAUAGAACCCUUGCCUUUUUGAGUACCGUCCGUUUCCUCGGCAGGCUCGCCUGCCAAUGGGGACCCAAAACCAAACUCUUUUUAUCAUCUGUACCAGUCUGAAAAACAAACAAAAGUUAAAACUUUCAACAACGGAUCUCUUGGUUCUGGCAUCGAUGAAGAACGCAGCGAAAUGCGAUAAGUAGUGUGAAUUGCAGAAUUCAGUGAAUCAUCGAAUCUUUGAACGCACAUUGCGCCCUCUGGUAUUCCGGGGGGCAUGCCUGUUCGAGCGUCAUUACAACCCUCAAGCUUUGCUUGGUAUUGGACAUUGCCAGUUUCUGGCAGGUCUUAAAAUCAGUGGCGGUGCCAUUUGGCUUCAAGCGUAGUAAUUCUUCUCGCUUUGGAGAUCCAGGUGGUUACUUGCCAAUAACCCCCAAUUUUUUCAGGUUGACCUCGGAUCAGGUAGGGAUACCCGCUGAACUUAAGCAUAUCAAUAAGCGGAGGA